rnacentral:rRNA from 1 species
UACGAAGGGUGCGAGCGUUGUCCGGAAUCAUUGGGCGUAAAGGGCGCGUAGGUGGCCACUUCAAGCGUGCGGUGAAAGUCGGGGGCUCAACCCCUGAUCGGCCGUGCGAACUGGGGGGCUGGAGCACUGUAGAGGCAGGCGGAAUUCCGGGUGUAGCGGUGGAAUGCGUAGAGAUCCGGAAGAACACCGGUGGCGAAGGCGGCCUGCUGGGCAGUUUUGCUGACACUGAGGCGCGACAGCGUGGGGAGCAAACAGG